rnacentral:rRNA from 1 species
CAAGUCGAUCGGUAACAGGUGUAGCAAUACAUGCUGACGAGAGGCGGACGGGUGAGGAAUAUUUGGGAAUCUGCCCAUCAGCGGGGGACAACCCGGGGAAACUCGGGCUAAUACCGCAUACGCUCUACGGAGGAAAGCCGGGGACCGCAAGGCCUGGCACUGAUGGAUGAGCCCAAAUCGGAUUAGCUAGUUGGCGGGGUAACGGCCCACCAAGGCGACGAUCCGUAGCUGGUCUGAGAGGACGAUCAGCCACACCGGAACUGAGACACGGUCCGGACUCCUACGGGAGGCAGCAGUGGGGAAUAUUGGACAAUGGGGGAAACCCUGAUCCAGCGACGCCGCGUGGGUGAAGAAGGCCUGCGGGUUGUAAAGCCCUUUCGGUAGGGAAGAAAUCUCUUGCUCUAACAAAGCGAGGGUUUGACUUAACCUACAUAAGAAGCACCGGCUAACUCUGUGCCAGCAGCCGCGGUAAUACAGAGGGUGCGAGCGUUAAUCGGAAUUACUGGGCGUAAAGCGCACGUAGUCGGCUUGCCAAGUCGGGUGUGAAAUCCCCGGGCUCAACCUGGGAACUGCAUCCGAAACUGGCUUGCUAGAGUAUGGGAGAGGGAGGCGGAAUUUCUGGUGUAGCAAUGAAAUGCGUAGAUAUCAGAAGGAACAUCAGUGGCGAAGGCGGCCUCCUGGACCAAUACUGACGAUCAGGUGCGAAAGCGUGGGGAGCAAACAGGAUUAGAUACCCUGGUAGUCCACGCCCUAAACGAUGACAACUGGAUGUCGGGAGGGUUUGCCUUCCGGUGUCGUAGCUAACGCGUUAAGUUGUCCGCCUGGGAAGUACGGCCGCAAGGUUGAACUCAAGGAAUUGACGG